rnacentral:tRNA from 1 species
GGGCCAUUAGCUCAGGUGGUAGAGCACAUGACUUUUAAUCAUGGUGUCCGGAGUUCGAAUCUCCGAUGGCUCA